rnacentral:rRNA from 1 species
UGCGUAGGCGGAAAAUUAAGUCAGUGAUGAAAUCCUGCAGCUCAACUGUAGAACUGUCAUUGAUACUGAUUUUCUUGAAUUUAGUUGAGGUAGGCGGAAUGUGUAAUGUAGCGGUGAAAUGCUUAGAUAUUACACAGAACACCGAUUGCGAAGGCAGCUUACUAAGCUAACAUUGACGCUGAGGCACGAAAGCGUGGGGAGCAAACAGGAUUAGAUACCCUGGUAGUC